rnacentral:rRNA from 1 species
UACGGAGGGGGCUAGCGUUGUUCGGAAUUACUGGGCGUAAAGCGCGCGUAGGCGGACCUGCAAGUCGGGGGUGAAAGCCCGAGGCUCAACCUCGGAACUGCCUUCGAUACUGCGGGUCUCGAGUCCGGGAGAGGUGAGUGGAAUUCCUAGUGUAGAGGUGAAAUUCGUAGAUAUUAGGAAGAACACCAGUGGCGAAGGCGGCUCACUGGACCGUCACUGACGCUGAGGUGCGAAAGCUAGGGUAGCAAACGGG